rnacentral:snoRNA from 1 species
ACCCUACGGAUUCCUUACCCCUCAGAUCUAAAUAUUGGUGUGAGUGGCUAAAAACAGGAGACAAAAUAAAAGUGAAGUGAACAUGGAGUCUUUGGUGACAUACAAGUUCAUUUCAAACAUAA